rnacentral:misc_RNA from 1 species
GAUGAAGAACGUAGCGAAAUGCGAUAAGUAAUGUGAAUUGCAGAAUUCAGUGAAUCAUCGAAUCUUUGAACGCACAUUGCGCCCGCCAGUAUUCUGGCGGGCAUGUCUGUCCGAGCGUCAUUUCAACCCUCGAACCCCUCCGGGGGGUCGGCGUUGGGGAUCGGCCCCUCACCGGGCCGCCCCCGAAAUCCAGUGGCGGUCUCGCCGCAGCCUCUCCUGCGCAGUAGUUUGCACACUCGCACCGGGAGCGCGGCGCGGCCACAGCCGUAAAACACCCCAAACUCUGAAAUGUUGACCUCGGAUCAGGUAGGAAUACCCGCUGAACUUAAGCAUAUCAAUAAGCGGAGGA